AACACGCUGCAAAUGUAGUUUAAAAACAGCUUCAUUAAAAACUUUAGAGAGGCCAACUUAUGAUUUUUAAGCAAACAAAAACAAUAUCAAAAUCAAUUUCUAAGCUCGACUUCUCUGCUCAUUAGGCAAGUCCAGCAGCGCUUUUUAACAGAUUUCAUCAAAUUGUGUCAUUCGACAAAAAUGAGCAAAAAAAUAAAAUAAAUAAAGACUGAAAAUCGCGUCUCGUGCUCACGCCCACAAAAUCAAAGCUGAUUUCAUAUUUUGUGCACGGCAAAAUUUCACAAAAAAUAAAGAAAAACUGGUUACACCCAGCUCAAAUAAAAAUCUGUAUAUAUUUACAGACGUGAUCUUAUAACAAAUUCGUGUAAAUUAAAUGCUCAUAUGCAACAACAAAGACAACAAACUCGCAAGAAACUCAUAAAUUGGCGCUCAUUUGUUUGCUCAUUUGUCGCGUCAGCCCCCAAACGGCCAAUGUACAUAAGGCCCGGCCCAAAAUGGACAUGUAAGCAAGUCAAAAGCGAGUCUAUAAAAUCUAAUACGCACACAACAGCGGCCACAAGUCACGCCCACAGCUGUGGCUAUAUACUAUAUAAGCUAUAAGCGCUGAAGUGCCUAAUAACAACUCAGUUUAAGAGCGCAAGUAAAGAGCGCGGCUUGAAACUUGCUAGAGAGAGAGAGAGAGAGAGAGAGCGCUCGCGCGCACACCACAUGCGCCAUUGCACUCCCACACAGGCAGCCAAGUCGACGAUCGUGCUCUUAAAAAUUGUGCAGAACCCACUUGGAACGAGUUUUCUCAGAGAGAUCGAAACGCGGACGGACUCAAGAGUCGCAUCGGCUCGGAUUGCGUUUUCAGUCUGUGAGCAGCUGCGUGAGCCGCACGACGAUCAACGAAUCAGCGAACGAUCGUGCUGAUCGUGCCUGAAGUUAAGUGCACGCCAUGGAGAAAGACGUUAAAAGUGGCCGAUCAAAAUGUACGGCAAGUGUGUGACAGACCGAAUGAUAAAGUUGCAGUGUAAAAAUAAUAAAUCUCUAAGACUUAAGCCCAAUGAUGAUCAAAGAUCAGUGUUAACUAAAGAUUGCGAAGGCGGCAGGCGGCUGCCGGCUGGCGGCAAACGGCCACAAGAAGUUGCAAGCGAGUCGCAGUUCAGGUACCUUGCUGCCUUCCAGCGGUGGCAUCAACAGUUCAGCCUCAAGAUGUUGCCGACGCGCACAAUGUGCGGCUUUAAGAAAUGCCGAAUUCCAGAAGCUGCAGUACAAUCAGUUGAAUUAAAAAACAGCCCACAGACAGAGACAGACAGAGAGAGAGAGAGAGCCAGAGCGAGAACCAGAGCGAGAGGGUGGCAGGGUGGUAGCAAGAGGGAGAUAGCUGCGAGGACAACGCGACGAUAUCAUCGCACAGCUGCGGCCUAGGAAAUUAAGAGGACAUUGUGGCGGCAUGUGGUCAGAACUCAACGCGCGGCGGCUUAAACACAAAAUCCAGCUCCAGCUCCAGCUCCAGCUACAGCUACAGCUACAGCUACAGCCGCAGCAGCAACCGCAGCCGUCCAGCUCCAUGCAGCAGACGCAGUCGCUGGUUCGGGCCACGCAAGAUUCUUUGCGUUGUUGCGUUGUUGGUGGCGGCUCGCGAUGGCAACCGCCACUGGCCACUGACAGAGGUCGCCCUCGUACGUAAUCGGCGAGCAUUGCAAAUGCUUUUGUGCCGUCUGUUUCGCCUGUCGCGCUGCCUUGUGCUGCGCACGUGGCCAACUUGGUGACGCUUGGCCCCAAAAACAACAGCAGCAGCAACAGCAGCAGCCGCAACAGGGGCAGCAAAUCAUUGAAAUGUCGUUAGAGGCUCGAGCGGCACGCGGCUGCGAUAGUCAGCCGAACCGCAAAAUGCUUUUAAUUUCUCAAACUGAUAUGUACUUAGUGUGCCCAGGUUCGAUCCGCAGAGGGGGCCAAGAACAUGUGUGGCUGUCUGUGUGUGUGGACAAGAGCUAAGCAGUUGGAGGAGUUGCUGCGAGCAGCAGCGGAAACUUUACGCGAGGAGGUGGACUUUGGGUGUGCUACAACUUGAAAUAGUUCAAGGAGUUCGCAUUGUUCGAAUGGGUUCCAAUCUAAGCUAAUUUUAGCUCAAAGGGAGUUCACAUUUGAUCACAUGAGUUGCAGCAUUACUUGAAGUAUGUUCAAGUUAACAAUAAUUAAAUUCCAUUUGGAAAAUUUUAAAAUAUUACUACUUUCUUGAUUAGUAAAAUUAAGAAGAUUAUUUCUGAAUAAUACUUUCCAUGUGCCACUGAAAAGCCCAAAGCUAUGAAUAUUUUUAGAAGAUCAACUAGAUUUAUUUAUUUAUAAAUAUUUAUAAAAAAUUAUAAGAGCAGAAUUAAAUUUAAAAAAAAAUAACCAAAAAAACAUCCAUCAAAAACAAAACGAUUCUAUCCAAAAUCAAAGUUUGAGUAUUUUUAAAAACUGAUUUUAAAUUUUCUAUAAUAUAAUGAACCAUGUUAAUUUCAAAGUAGAGGGUCACGAAAAAAUACAAAAAUCUAUCCCAAAUUAUUUUACAAAUUGUUGUGCUUGUACAAAAUAAUACAGAAAAUAUAAAAUGAAACGAACAAAUUCUUGAGCUUUGGCAAAGUAAAACAGAAACUUUAAGUGAUGGUUAAGAAAUUUUAAAAUUUUAAAUAAAGUGAAAAUCUAUCCAAAAGAAUAUGUUAAAAUUAAAGCCAUAAAAAAACAUUUAACCUAAAGCACAAACUGUACCUAAGAAAAACAAAAAUGAAAGUCCAAAGGGUCACUGCACACGAUCAGCAAACACUUUGAAAAGUAUACUAAUAAAAGCUAAAGCCAAUAAACUUACAA